CGGGGCUGCUGGAGUUUGCAGAGACACGGAGGAGGAGAGAGCCUGUGCUUUGCCUGCCGCCGCGGCUGGGGGAGAUCUGGCUUUUGCAACAGCCCACCCCCUUUGAGAUCACUCUGGCCCGGAGUGGGGGUGGGGGGCAGCGGGGGGUGGGGGGGGAAAGUUUGCAUUGCAAUCCCCCUGCCUUCCUCUCCUUUCUCCCGAUCAAUGCAUAUUUGCAAAAGGAUUAAGCCACAGAUUUAAGCGCCGGGAGCCCAUUUCUGCCUUGCAAAGGAGACCGGACUGAAAAACCUAAAGCCAGCUCUGAUUUCUUUUCGCCAAGUGGGAAGGUGGUUUAUUUUUCUUGCUUUUUGGAGUCAACACCCUUCCCCACCAGCCCUUAUCCCCACCCUCACCCCGCAACCCCUUCACGCCCCCUCCCCCUCCCCCUCCUCAUCCUCCCACCAUCCUCUAAAGAGGCAAAGGGAUUUUUUUUUUCUUUUGGUCUUCUUUUUUCCCCCUUCCCUGUUUAUCCUGAAAAGGAUUUGAAGACAAGCUUGAAGGAUAAAAAGCCUUGGUGCUUCCCAGGAGCCGAGCCGAGGAGCAGAAGAGGAAGAGCCGGGGGCUGCCGUAGCCUUUGGAGAUGGACGAGCAGCCCAGGCUGAUGCAUUCCCAUGCUGGGGUCGGGAUGGCCGGACACCCCGGCCUGUCCCAGCACUUGCAGGAUGGGGCCGGAGGGACCGAGGGGGAGGGCGGGAGGAAGCAGGACAUUGGAGACAUUUUACAGCAAAUUAUGACCAUCACAGACCAGAGUUUGGAUGAGGCGCAGGCCAGAAAACAUGCUUUAAACUGCCACAGAAUGAAGCCUGCCUUGUUUAAUGUGUUGUGUG
rnacentral:lncRNA from 1 species